AGCGUGUGUGUGUGUGUGUGUGUGUCUCAUGUCCUAAUGCCAUUCUUCUGUAUCUGUGACAUGAAGUACAAACUAGGAGGGUGAGAUUGCUGGAAUUUAAUGUCCUAUGUAACUUUAGCAACAUCCAGCCAGGUGCCAGACAGCUGCAAGUGGAAUCGGGCAGUCAGCAUUCUCAGUGUGCUAUGUUCCUGAAUGUGCAGCUCACAGAAGGCAGCAUGAAAUGGAUAAGUGCAUACCUGUAGAUGUCAGCUCGAUUUUUUUAUUGGUGCAAAACAUCUGCUGGGAGCGGCAGGCUCUUGGCGGGAAAGGGGACACCCAGUGACACGCGACAUGCCGCCUUGCCAGCCGUGAUUAAGAGGACCAGACAAACCUCGUGUGAGGCAUUUGUAUCUCUGGGAGCCCCUUCCACACCUGCAACAGUGACUCAAGUGACCUGCGGAGAGCCCAUGGAGCCAGAACAUCUGUGAUGUACUUGGAUAAUCUGAUGCGAGAAGAUGCAUGCCCCCACCAGCAUACAUAAAGAAAAGAAGAAGAUCAAGGACGAUUCUGUGAAAGCAUCUGCUUGUAAUGUGUGUCAAAUCGAGCUGUGAACAGCAUGAAGCAAAAAUUGAAGGAAAGAUUGCAGAAACCAGUGCGGAGCUGUAGUGGAGUGAAUAUAUUGACGUGGGCAGAAAAACUGGCACCAGAAUUUUAAAAAACAAAUAAUCGUUUUUUCUCUCUCCGUCUCACAAAUGUGCAUACACAUGCACCCACGUACACCUCAGCCUAUGACACCUACAUGACACCCUGAACCUCCACUUACACUUGGAGCUGGCUUUGAAAUGUAUAACAUACGGGUCAGGUCGAGGGAAGUGGAUUCAUAUUUCUAGUGUCAGGGGCCCAGCGAUGAUGGACGACCUGGACUGCUGAGCUGUGGUGACCCUCUGACAGUAAACCAUUAACAAACAGAUUGCCAGAUUCUCUCCUUUUGUGCCCCAUCACUGCCCCAUCAACAGGAGGCACCUCUUUAUUACCCCCACCCCUGGUGGAAAUAAAUACUCAUAACCUUGAUGAUGUCUGAUUACA
rnacentral:lncRNA from 1 species